rnacentral:rRNA from 1 species
UUGGAGGGCAAGUCUGGUGCCAGCAGCCGCGGUAAUUCCAGCUCCAAUAGCGUAUAUUAAAGUUGUUGCAGUUAAAAAGCUCGUAGUUGAAUUUCGGGAUCAAAUUGUCGGUCGUGCCUCGGUACGCACUGGUAUUAUUGGUUCCUACCUUCUGAAGAACCGCGAUGUCAUUAAUUUGGUGUCAUGGGGAAUCAGGACUGUUACUUUGAAAAAAUUAGAGUGUUUAAAGCAGGCUUACGCUUGAAUACAUUAGCAUGGAAUAAUGAAAUAGGACGUUUGAUUCUAUUUUGUUGGUUUCUAGGAUUGACGUAAUGAUCAAUAGGGAUAGUUGGGGGCAUUAGUAUUCAAUUGUCAGAGGUGAAAUUCUUGGAUUUAUUGAAGACUAACUACUGCGAAAGCAUUUGCCAAGGAUGUUUUCAUUAAUCAAGAACGAAAGUUAGGGGAUCGAAGACGAUCAGAUACCGCCGUAGUCUUAACCAUAAACUAUGCCGGCUAGGGAUCGGAUGAUGUUAAUUUUUUAAUGACUCAUUCGGCGCCUUACGGGAAACCAAAGUGUUUGGGUUC